rnacentral:rRNA from 1 species
CAGUCGCCGCGGUAAUACCGAGGAUGCAAGCGUUAUCCGGAAUGAUUGGGCGUAAAGUGUCUGUAGGUGGCUUUUCAAGUCCGCCGUCAAAUCCCAGGGCUCAACCCUGGACAGGCGGUGGAAACUACCAAGCUGGAGUAUGGUAGGGGCAGAGGGAAUUUCCGGUGGAGCGGUGAAAUGCGUUGAGAUCGGAAAAAACACCAACGACGAAAGCACUCUGCUGGGCCGACACUGACACUUAGAGACGAAAGCUAGGGGAGCAAAUGGGAUUAGAUACCCCGGUAGUCCCUGUCUCUUAUAC